rnacentral:lncRNA from 1 species
CUCAGCUGUGCUCGCCAUUUUUGGGUGCAUUUUUCCAACUCAAGCGUAAGCUGACAGAUGGCGGUGGAAUAAUAUUCUCACUUUCUCUACUUCCCACAGGCCUCCCUCCAACACAGUCCUCCAAGCUCUUAGAAAUCUCUGACGCAUCUCAACCAUGAGACCACGGCUGGCUUUUGGCAGGAUUCGAGGCACCAACCCAGCAGCCUCUAACUAGUGCAUGGUGGAGCCUCAAGAGAUACUGGCCAGGCCAGCUCUCCCUUCCAGAGGGCAGAGCAGAGCGUGAGAGGAAGGCCACUCAGCGGAAGUGGACAUGAAUGCUGGUUUCCAAAGAGAACAGUGUUUUAGUUUUGGUCAUCGAAAGUGGUGCCUUCAGCACAGCUGGGGACAGAGAUGUUGGUUGGUGGCUUGGUGUUGCAGAAACUCUCAUUGCCUGGAUGGGGCCCUCAUCAGUGGAGCCCGGGGGUUCUCCACCUGUCUUCUCUUGUGUGAGCCACGCCAGCGAUGCCGUGACCAGUAAAACCCUGUUGCUGAGGGGGAGCCCGUCUUCUAACAAGUCAGACUCGUCAGACGUAAAUGAAAAUAUCACAUAAAUAAUGGAACAGAUGGCAUGUGUUUCUGGCAAAACUUGAAAUGGUGGUCACCAAAUGGCACAGUGUUUCCCCAACAAGAGCUAAUGAUGUAAAGCGUGGGGCCCACCUGUAUCUACAUGUCAGCAGACCCAGCCCGGUCCUGGCCCUUGGGAGCCCCAGGAGUAUCAAAGGAAUGACUUCAUGGAUGUCUCCCCAUUGAAAACAGCAUGAGACAAAUUCCCUUCAGAUCUUAGCGCCAAGAAGAGCUGUGCUUUUUCUGAGCAACUGGCGUGUUUGUCAUCAGGACACUGAGAAUGUUCAGCUGUGUUGUCCUUUCCUCUCACUGCCAGGAAGCUGCACCCCAAGUCUGGGGCCUGGACUCAGCCACUGUGUGGGGCCUUCUCCCCUGCUUAUCCACGUUCUUCUAUCCCUCUGGUCUAGACCUUGUGUCUUCCAUUUCCCCCGGGUUGAUUUGUGAUUUUUAAUUAGUGCUCUGAUUUUGUUUUUGUAAACCUCAUCAGAUGCUCUGUGGAAUAAAGCAAGUUAAAAUUGCA